rnacentral:lncRNA from 11 species
AAACAGGCAAGAUGUUGGAUGUGGAAGCAAAGAAGGCAGCCUAUCUGCCUUCUGUUGACUUUUUCAUACAAGGUUUGGGCCAAAGUCAGCCCCAAAUGCAGUCAGAAAGCAGUCAAGGACUUGUGGAUCUCAGGAGGAGAACUAUGACAGACCUUUUCAGUAAUAGAUCCUGACAGAGAGAUGGUGAAAGAGUGCUUGGACAGUGUCUUGGAGUUAAGGGCAUAAUGAAGAGAGCUGGCUGGUGCUGAUAGUCACAGCUGUAGAAAAGGAGAGUCAAUGGACAUGUCAACAACAACAACAACAACAACAACAACAACAACAACAACAACUUCAUUCUUGGGAUUGCUGUGUGUUUUCCUGGCUGUAUGGCCAUGUUCCAGAAGUAUUAUCUCCUGACGUUUCACCCAUAUCUAUGGCAGGCAUCCUCAGAGGUUGUGAGGUGGGUUAUAAGAACUUCAUUCUUAUAACCCACCACCAUCUCCCGAAAAG